rnacentral:rRNA from 1 species
UACGUAGGGUGCGAGCGUUGUCCGGAAUUAUUGGGCGUAAAGAGCUUGUAGGCGGUUUGUCGCGUCUGCCGUGAAAAUCCGGGGCUCAACCCCGGACUUGCGGUGGGUACGGGCAGACUAGAGUGUGGUAGGGGAGACUGGAAUUCCUGGUGUAGCGGUGAAAUGCGCAGAUAUCAGGAGGAACACCGAUGGCGAAGGCAGGUCUCUGGGGCCACUACUGACGCUGAGAAGCGAAAGCGUGGGGGAGCGAAACAGG